UAGAGAUGCCGAGUAUGGCUAGAGUGCGCCCGCCGUAAGAACGGCAGGCUGCGAUGGUUAGAGGCUUCAACUCCACGCCUCACCUAUGCCAGAGUCUAGGGCUCCCGGUGGAGAGCUGAGACCUGGCGGUUUGCUGUUAUGAGUAUCGUAUUGAGAAGCAGUCAUAAGCUGGAGGCGUGGCUCAGUGUGCCUGAUGCCUUGAAUUCUACAGAACCACAAGCAAACAAACAGACCACGGUAGCCGGGUGUUUUGCCUGCAUGCGACUCUGUGCUCCCUGUGCAUGCAGUGCUUGAGGAGACCAGAAGAGGAACUGGAUUGUUGGCCACUCAUCCUCCCAAUGUGAGGCCUUUGGGGGAAGUGAUCAAGUCAUGAGAAAUUGAUUCCAAUUCUACAAAAGGGAUUGGAGACCUUAUGAGGGACUGACAAGAGCUAGUUUCAUCUCUUCCACCCUGGGAGGACACAGCAGGUGCUGCCUGGGAAGCAGAAAGAAGCUCUCACCACACACCAAAUCUGCUGGCACCCUGACCUUGGACUCCUAACCUCCAGAGCGCCUCCUUUCUUUUGUGACAGUCUGUCACAAAACUGACCCCAUCCACCUGGACCACCUGCACUCCAGAUCAACGAGGAGCCAUCUGCUAUCCAAGACUGAGGACCUGGAAGGGAGUUCCCUGGAAAGGGCUUUCAGCGGUGGAGGUGGGGUGAGGGCCUGGGGCUGCAGUUCCAGUAUGUUCCUUGAAUCUGGAGCAGGGUGUGGGCGCCAUGGGCCCUGGCCCCGGACUGGGAGUGGCUGCGGCCUUGCUUGCUUGACCUUGAUCAGAUGUCGUCCCUAUUCAGAUUCCCUGCCGGUAUCCACCCUUCUGAAUGCUUAAGGGAAG